UACGUAGGGAGCAAGCGUUGUCCGGAAUCAUUGGGCGUAAAGCGCGCGUAGGCGGCCCCGUAAGUCCGCUGUGAAAGUCAAAGGCUCAACCUUUGAAAGCCGGUGGAUACUGUGGGGCUAGAGUACGGAAGAGGCGAGUGGAAUUCCUGGUGUAGCGGUGGAAUGCGCAGAUAUCAGGAGGAACACCAAUAGCGAAGGCAGCUCGCUGGGACGUUACUGACGCCGAGGCGCGAAAGCGUGGGGAGCGAACAGG
rnacentral:rRNA from 1 species